AGCUGGCUGCUUUGUUCAACAUCGAUCCCGUGGAGCUUGGCAUUUAACGGCCUGCAUUAGGACGGAGAGAAGGGAGAAAACAUUUUGUCAAUACUUCUAAUAAUUGAGGGUGAAAUGACAAGAUAAGCUGGACCUGGAGCAAAUGUCUUUCGAGGUGAAUGUAGACAGCAGCGGGGCAGGCCAUUGGUCUCCAUCUCUCCUCCAUCCCGUCCCCUUCUCUCCUCUCCAUAUUCCUCUUCAUACCCACUCUACCCCUCUCUUCCUCUCCCCUCAACCGCGCUCCCUCUCCCUAACCCCACACCUCUCUCCCCCUUUUCCUUCACCCACCCCCCCAAUAGGUACGCCUUCAUCCCCUCUUGGCAGCUCCAUCUCCUCCUCACCUCCCCCCGUCAUCUCUCCUCCCUCUCCCUGGUUGGUUUCCACAGCUGUGGUGAGUGAGGGGCAGAUGACCGGAGAAUUGGCCCCUGGGAGAGCGCUGAGCCAUCCUGGUGCUAUUAGGCUCGUGGCUAAUAAUAGGUGUUUCAGACCAGGGGAAGAUCAAUCAGGGGGAAUCAUGGGGAAUGUUCGGAGCAGCGCUUUUUACACAUCGGCCCAGAUGGAUGAAAUUACACUUGUCAGUUUUUAGUUGCAUUACUCCCAAAUUGGUUGUCUACUCUUUUUUUCUCCCUCCCUCCCUCGCUCUCUCUCUCCUCUCCUUUCUCUCUUUUUGCCCUCAUUCAUGUGUCAGUGGCCUGCUAAAGGGAUUCAAUGGUGAAAUCCCUGUCAUUUUUGUCUUUUCUCUGUUUAGCCCUCAGCCAGCAACUCUGUAGCCUGCAUAUGCACUUAAAGCGAAUCAGUGUAGGAUCUCGUCUUAUGGCUCAGGCGAUUUCCAUGUUGAAGGCAAGUGUGCAGCUGACAUUCUGUAUGUGCUCUUCAUGUUCAAUAAAACAAUUUGAUUGAUUCUCAAACACUUCAAACAAUUAAGCAGGUCAUAAAAGACUCAUUAAGGAUUUUUAAUUUGCCACCAGGAUGCUUAGGAUGCUUUUGAGGUGGCCAACUAAAACCAUGGACUCCAAUAACUAGUAAGCUAGACAGUCAUUGUUUCUUUAUUCUCAACAGGACAAGACUAUUUUGAUAAUU